GGAACUGGGGUUCCCUACAUUGAUCGAGGUCACCUGGUUAAGAUUGAUGGUGUUCGCCGGCGGGCGCCGGCCGGGCCUACAGAGCGGGUGACGAAGCCCCAUACGCUCGAGGACCGGACGCGGUGCCGCCGCUGCCUUUCGGGCCCGCCCCCCGGAAGCGGGGGGCGAGAGCCCAACACACAAGCCGUGCUUGAGGGCAGCAAUGACGCUCGGACAGGCAUGCCCCCCGGAAUACCAGGGGGCGCAAUGUGCGUUCAAAGACUCGAUGAUUCACUGAAUUCUGCAAUUCACAUUACUUAUCGCAUUUCGCUGCGUUCUUCAUCGAUGCCGGAACCAAGAGAUCCGUUGUUGAAAGUUUUAACUGAUUUAGUCAAGUACUCAGACUGCAAUCUUCAGACAAGAGUUCGUUUGUGUGUCUUCGGCGGGCGCGGGCCCGGGGGCGGAUGCCCCCCGGCGGCCGUGAGGCGGGCCCGCCGAAGCAACAAGGUACGAUAAACACGGGUGGGAGGUUGGACCCAGAGGGCCCUCACUCGGUAAUGAUCCUUCCGCGGCACCCCCUUCCGAAAC
rnacentral:misc_RNA from 1 species